GACGAACGCUGGCGGCGUGCCUAAUACAUGCAAGUAGAACGCACAGUUUAUACCGUAGCUUGCUACACCAUACACUGUGAGUUGCGAACGGGUGAGUAACGCGUAGGUAACCUGCCUGGUAGCGGGGGAUAACUAUUGGAAACGAUAGCUAGUACCGCAUAAUAUUGAUUAUUGCAUGAUAAUUGAUUGAAAGAUGCUAUUGCAUCACUACCAGAUGGACCUGCGUUGUAUUAGCUAGUAGGUGAGGUAACGGCGCACCUAGGCGACGAGACAUAGCCGACAUGAGAGGGUGAGCGGCCACACUGGGAGUGAGACAAGGCCCAGACGCCUACGGGAGGCAGCAGUAGGGAAUCUUCGGCAAUGGACGAAAGUCUGACCGAGCAACGCCGCGGGAGGGAAGAAGGUUGUCGGGUCGUAAAGCUCGGUUGUAAGAGAAGAACGGGUGUGAGAGUGGAAAGUUCACACUGUGACGGUAUCUUACCAGAAAGGGACGGCUAACUACGUG
rnacentral:rRNA from 1 species